rnacentral:lncRNA from 1 species
AUACCACAACUCAGGGCAUCUGCGUUGCUCAGUGGGUUAAGCAUCUGACUCUUGGUUUUGCCUCAGGUCAUGAUCUCAGGAUCGUGGGAUGGAGUCCCAUGUCAGGCUCUGAGCUCGGGGCAGAGUCUCCUUAAGGUUCUCUCCCCUCUCUCUCUGCCUCUCCUGCUUGUGCUCUCUCUCUUUCUCUCAUAAAAUAAAUAAAUAUUUAAAAGAAAUCUAUCACAACUAGUAUAACAUGAGCAUUGGCCAACCAGAGCUGAAGGUAGCCAGAGCUCUGGAGGUCUAAAAAGCUCUCCCCUCUGUCAGGACUUAACCCACUAAUUGCCAAAUCAAGGAGUAGAGGGAUGCCCCAAGGAAAGAGGCCAGGAAUGUAGAAGGGGCAUGAGAGGGGCCACAGGAUAGUAGCUGUCUACCUCUAGUACAGGACUGUAUCAGGGUUUAAUAAAACUAGUCAUACCAGUGCACACUAGAUGCACAUCUACUCUACAUUCAGUAACUUUUUUUCUGAGUACCUACCAAGUACUAGGCAUCAUGCUGGGCCCUAUAAAUAGAGCCAGGAGCAAGAUUUUUAUUCUAGUAUCUAAUUCCCUAAUUUAUUGAACACAAAAUGAUUAAGAGGCAAAUUAAAAUGAAGUCAUGAUUAUUUCUUUUUAUCUAACUUAAACAUCAGCGCCAGUCUAUAAUUAGGUUUGAGGCAAUGGACAAAAGGGAAAAAUAAGGGGGAAAGGAGGUUAAAUUUGGAAGUGGGAGUACAACAAAACCACACUCAGCAGGAUGAGCUGCAGUGCUGGGACAUCAUGGAAUGCUUUGGUUUCUUGGUGUUCUGAAGGCACUUUUUCACUUUUGGAAAUUUCUCUCCUAAGAACUUUUUCAUAUCAAUUUUUCAUUGAAUAUUCAAUUUAUGGAAUUUUGGGGGUCCCUUGAAGCCAUCUUGCAUUUACUAUUGUGUCAGUCAGGAUCUUGGGAAAAGAAAAUUGAUGAAUAAAACAUGAUUAUGUUCUCAUUCAUUUGGGGAAUAUAAAUAAUAGUGAAAGGGAAUAUAAGGGAAGGGAGAAGAAAUGUGUGGGAAAUAUCAGAAAGGGAGACAGAACGUAAAGACUGCUAACUCUGGGAAACGAACUAGGGGUGGUAGAAGGGGAGGAGGGCGGGGGGUGGGAGUGAAUGGGUGACGGGCACUGGGGGUUAUUCUGUAUGUUAGUAAAUUGAACACCAAUAAAAAAUAAAUUAAAAAAAAUAAAUAAAUAAAACAUGAUUACUCUAGUUUUGAGAGCUGAAAAGGCAAUAAAGGAGCACUAGGGUAUUUCAGAAAUGAAGACUGCAAGGAGAAGCUCCCACCCUUGAGGCCAGGGAAGGAAGGAACAGGUUGGGAUUAUUAGAAGUUAGCAGCUUACAUGGAUGGAACUAGAGGGUUUUAUGUUAAGGGAAAUGAGUCAGUCAGAAAAAGACAAAUACCACAUGAUCUCAGUCAUAUGUGGAAUUUAAGAAACAAAACAGAUGAACAAAGAGGAAGAGAAGGAAAAAUAAAAUAAGAUGAAGAGAGAGAGGCAAACCAUAGAGACUCUUAACUAUAGGAAACAAACUAAGGGUUGCUGGAGGGGAGGGAGGUGAGGGACGGGGUAACUGGGUGAUGGGCAUUAAGGAGGGCAUAUGAAUGAGGAAAUGAUCAGUGGGUGAAUGAGGGAAUGAGCACUGGGUGUUAUAUACAAUCGAUGAAUCAUUAAAUUCUAUCUCUGAAACUAAUAACACACUAUAUAUUAACCAAAUUGAAUUUAAAUAAAAAAUUAAAAGAAAAAGAAGUUAGCAGCUUAGAGGAAAGCCCUCUAAGACCCAAACCUCUGAGAGGAUAGGAUGUGACUGCUGCUGGUGUCUCAGGGGUCCAAGGAGCACCCUCACAGCUCUGAGGCUCAGGUGUCUGAGGAGGCAGCACCAGUCCGCUCAUGCUGGUACCUCUGAGGAAGUGAAGACUGAGUCUAGGAAGGUGAGGAAGUUGUAAACUGGAACCAAGUGCUUCUGUGGACCGAGCAGCUGCUGUGAGGUGUCUGACAGGAGCAGCGAACACACAGGAAGGAGCCAGUCCCUUCCUCCCUCUCCAGGCUUUCGGUCUCCGCCUCCACAUUAGGCUCCCUGUUGUCAGAGCCGGGAAAGGAGAAUGGAGGUUUGCAGGGGCCCAGUCCAAGCAUUGUAAACAGAAUAUGGAAGUGUGGAGAAGCUCUAGCCCCCCAGCUGCCCUGUCUCUAACAAUGAGCUAUGAGUGUCCAUUUCAGAUAUGCCAUAUUUAGCCAACAUUAUAUCUAAGAGUGUGCUACGGACAUCUGACGAUGGAUCGCUUCAGGUGUAUUAAAAUCCCUUUCUACUGACUACAUCAACCCAUAGGUAAUUGUAAACAAACCCUUGCAUUGGUGCCUAAAAGCUUUCAGAUUUGACCUUGCCUAGAAAACACUGGCGUGAGUCUUCACUGCCAAGGAAGGAUCAAAACUUUCCACCCUAAUUUUCUGGGCUUUUUUUCUCCCC